UUUCCGGUGGCAAUGUCGGAGGGGUCCCACCCGUUCCCAUCCCGAACACGGAAGUUAAGCCCUCCAGAGCCGAUGGUACUCCGCGGGAAACCGCGCGGGAGAGUAGGUCGCUGCCGGAUUUU
rnacentral:rRNA from 1 species